CUGCCUCCGCGCCGCAGCCCCCGCUGUAGCCGCCUCCGAGCCCGCCGCCACCGCCUCUGAGCAGAAGAUGGCUGUGCCACCCACGUAUGCCGAUCUUGGCAAAUCUGCCAGGGAUGUCUUCACCAAGGGCUAUGGAUUUGGCUUAAUAAAGCUUGAUUUGAAAACAAAAUCUGAGAAUGGAUUGGAAUUUACAAGCUCAGGCUCAGCCAACACUGAGACCACCAAAGUGACGGGCAGUCUGGAAACCAAGUACAGAUGGACUGAGUACGGCCUGACGUUUACAGAGAAAUGGAACACCGACAAUACACUAGGCACCGAGAUUACUGUGGAAGAUCAGCUUGCACGUGGCCUGAAGCUGACCUUCGAUUCAUCCUUCUCACCUAACACUGGGGAAAAAAAUGCUAAAAUCAAGACAGGGUACAAGCGGGAGCACAUUAACCUGGGCUGCGACAUGGAUUUUGACAUUGCUGGACCUUCCAUCCGGGGUGCUCUAGUGCUGGGUUACGAGGGCUGGCUGGCCGGUUACCAGAUGAAUUUUGAGACUGCAAAAUCCCGAGUGACCCAGAGCAACUUUGCAGUUGGCUACAAGACUGAUGAAUUCCAGCUUCACACUAAUGUGAAUGACGGGACAGAGUUUGGCGGCUCCAUUUACCAGAAAGUGAACAAGAAGUUGGAGACCGCUGUCAAUCUCGCCUGGACAGCAGGAAAUAGUAACACGCCUUCGGAAUAGCAGCCAAGUAUCAGAUUGACCCUGACGCCUGCUUCUCGGCUAAAGUGAACAACUCCAGCCUGAUAGGUUUAGGAUACACUCAGACUCUAAAGCCAGGUAUCAAACUGACACUGUCAGCUCUUCUGGAUGGCAAGAACGUCAAUGCUGGUGGCCACAAGCUUGGUCUAGGACUGGAAUUUCAAGCAUAAAUGAAUACUGUACAAUUGUUUAAUUUUAAACUAUUUUGCAGCAUAGCUACUUUCAGAAUUUAGUGUAUCUUAAUGUUGUAUGUCUGGGAUGCAAGUAUUGCUAAAUAUGUUAGCUCUCCAGGUUAAAGAUGAUUCAGCUUUAAGAUGUUACCCUUCCAGAGGUACAGAAGAAACCCAUUUCCAAAAAAGGUCCUUUCAGUGGUAGACUCGGGGGGAGCUUAGUGGCCCCUUUGAGAUGCCAGGUUUCUUUUUUAUCUAGAAAUGGCUGCAAGUGGAAGCUGAUAGUAUGUAGGCACUUUGUAAAUUCAUAUUGAGUAAAUGAAUGAAAUUGUGAUUUCCUGAGAAUCGAACCUUGGUUUCCUAACCCUAAUUGAUGAGAGGCUUGCUGCUUGAUGGUGUGUACAAACUCACCGGAAUGGGACUUUUUUGGACAGAUCUUCAUGACCUGUUCCCACCCCAGUUCAUCAUCACCUCUUUUACACCAAAAGGUCUGCAGGGUGUGGUCACUGUUUCUUUUGUGCCAUUUUGGGGUGGAGAAGGUGGAUGUGAUGAAGCCAAUAAUUCAGGACUUACUCCUUCUUGUGUUGUGUUUUUUUUUGCCCUUGCACCAGAGUAUGAAAUAGCUUCCAGGAGCUCCAGCUAUAAGCUUGGAAGUGUCUGUGUGAUCGUAAUCACAUGGUGACAACACUCAGAAUCUAAAUUGGACUUCUGUUGUAUUCUCACCACUCAAUUUGUUUUUUAGCAGUUUAAUGGGUACAUUUUAGAGUCUUCCAUUUUGUGUGGAAUUAGAUCCUCCCCUUCAAAUGCUGUAAUUAACAUCACUUAAAAAAACCUGAAUAAAAUAUUGAAACCUCAAAAAAAAAAAGA